rnacentral:lncRNA from 1 species
AAAACCCUAUCAUAAUAAUUGGUGACGCAAGAAUAAAAUUGAAAAUAAGAGGAAACACAAAUGAAUAGGGUGACAAAAUAAAACAGCUAGAGAUGUGUAACCUUCAAAACAUCAACCUAUAUCAGAAAUCACUUGAUCUGUACAUUUGAUAGAUAAGAAAGAAAAUUACUCAUAAAAGAUAGGAAAAUACGGAAAAUAUGACAAUUUUAUAGCAGUACGUAUUUUUUUACCAUUUGUAUUUUGUUUAUACAAUUAUAAAGUGAUUAUGAACCAGAUAUUUCUAUUAAAUAAUGUAAGCUAAAUAUUUUUGUUAAGUACAUCCUCAAUUAUAUACGUCAAUCAAACAUGUAAUGUGUAACAAACUUUGACAUUAAAUAGUUUAGAAAGAUAUGUAUUGAACAUCAAAAUUAAUUUAAUUUUCACUUAUAUCCUAAAGAACAUAAAAUGUCAUCUUCUAUAUUCUUAUAAUUAAACAAUUAACAUAAGUUAUACAUAUUAAAAAUAUGCUAAAAUACUAAAUAUAAGUAGAAAAUUAAAGAGAGAAAAAGAAAAUAGAAUAAUUACAAGAAAAUGAAAAACGAAAAAGAAAAUAUAAUAAUUACAAGAAAAUGAAAAUGAGACCGUAUGGUAUAAAGGAAACCAACCCAAUCAUUUUUCCAGUGUUACAUUAGCAUCACCUUUAUUAUUGUGAGAUCCUCAUAAUCCUAACAAACAUCUCAAUCUCAUCAAAACAAUACAAAAAACCCGAUCAUAAUCAUUGGUGAGGCAAGAAUAAAAUUGAAAAUAAGAGGAAACACAGAUGAAUAGAGUGACAAAAUAAACAAGUUAGAGAUGUGUAACCUUCAAAAGAUCAACCUAUAUCAGAAAUCACUUGAUCUGUACAUUUGAUAGAUAAGAAAGAAAAUGACUCAUAAAAGAAAGAAAAAAAAGGAAAAUAUGACAAUUUAUCAAGUGUACGUAUUUUUUUACCCUUUGUAUUUUGUUUAUACAAUCAUAAAGUGAUCAUGAACAAGAGAUUUCUAUUAAAUAGUGUAAGCUAAAUAUUUCUAUUAAGUACAUCCUCACUUAUAUAAAUCAAUCGAACAUGUAAUGAUUAACAAACCUUGACAUUAAAUAGUUUAGAAAGAUAUGUAUUGAACAUCAAAAUUAAUUAAAUAUAUACUUAUAUCCUAAAGAACAUACAAUGUCAUCUUCUAUAUUCUGAUAAUUAAACAAUUAACAUAAGUUAUACAGAUUAAAAAAUAUGCUAAAAUACUAAUUAUAAGUAGAAAAUGAAAAAGAAAAAAAGAAAACAGAAUAAUUAUAAGAAAAUGAAAAUGAGAUCGUGUGGUAUAAAGGAAACCAACUCAAUCAUUUUUCCAGUGUUACAUUAGCAUCACCUUUAUUAUUGUGAGAUCCUCAUAAUCCUAACAAACAUCUCAAUCUCAUCAAAACAAUACAAAAAACCCGAUCAUAAUCAUUGGUGAGGCAAGAAUAAAAUUGAAAAUAAGAGGAAACACAGAUGAAUAGAGUGACAAAAUAAACAAGUUAGAGAUGUGUAACCUUCAAAAGAUCAACCUAUAUCAGAAAUCACUUGAUCUGUACAUUUGAUAGAUAAGAAAGAAAAUGACUCAUAAAAGAAAGAAAAAAAAGGAAAAUAUGACAAUUUAUCAAGUGUACGUAUUUUUUUACCCUUUGUAUUUUGUUUAUACAAUCAUAAAGUGAUCAUGAACAAGAGAUUUCUAUUAAAUAGUGUAAGCUAAAUAUUUCUAUUAAGUACAUCCUCACUUAUAUAAAUCAAUCGAACAUGUAAUGAUUAACAAACCUUGACAUUAAAUAGUUUAGAAAGAUAUGUAUUGAACAUCAAAAUUAAUUAAAUAUAUACUUAUAUCCUAAAGAACAUACAAUGUCAUCUUCUAUAUUCUGAUAAUUAAACAAUUAACAUAAGUUAUACAGAUUAAAAAAUAUGCUAAAAUACUAAUUAUAAGUAGAAAAUGAAAAAGAAAAAAAGAAAACAGAAUAAUUAUAAGAAAAUGAAAAUGAGAUCGUGUGGUAUAAAGGAAACCAACUCAAUCAUUUUUCCAGUGUUACAUUAGCAUCACCUUUAUUAUUGUGAGAUCCUCAUAAUCCUAACAAACAUCUCAAUCUCAUCAAAACAAUACAAAAAACCCGAUCAUAAUCAUUGGUGAGGCAAGAAUAAAAUUGAAAAUAAGAGGAAACACAGAUGAAUAGAGUGACAAAAUAAACAAGUUAGAGAUGUGUAACCUUCAAAAGAUCAACCUAUAUCAGAAAUCACUUGAUCUGUACAUUUGAUAGAUAAGAAAGAAAAUGACUCAUAAAAGAAAGAAAAAAAAGGAAAAUAUGACAAUUUAUCAAGUGUACGUAUUUUUUUACCCUUUGUAUUUUGUUUAUACAAUCAUAAAGUGAUCAUGAACAAGAGAUUUCUAUUAAAUAGUGUAAGCUAAAUAUUUCUAUUAAGUACAUCCUCACUUAUAUAAAUCAAUCGAACAUGUAAUGAUUAACAAACCUUGACAUUAAAUAGUUUAGAAAGAUAUGUAUUGAACAUCAAAAUUAAUUAAAUAUAUACUUAUAUCCUAAAGAACAUACAAUGUCAUCUUCUAUAUUCUGAUAAUUAAACAAUUAACAUAAGUUAUACAGAUUAAAAAAUAUGCUAAAAUACUAAUUAUAAGUAGAAAAUGAAAAAGAAAAAAAGAAAACAGAAUAAUUAUAAGAAAAUGAAAAUGAGAUCGUGUGGUAUAAAGGAAACCAACUCAAUCAUUUUUCCAGUGUUACAUUAGCAUCACCUUUAUUAUUGUGAGAUCCUCAUAAUCCUAACAAUCAUCUCAAUCUCAUCAAAACAAUAUGAAAAACCCUAUCAUAAUAAUUGGUGACGCAAGAAUAAAAUUGAAAAUAAGAGGAAACACGGAUGAAUAGAGUGACAAAAUAAACAAGUUAGAGAUACGUAACCUUCAAAAGAUCAACCUAUAUCCGAAACCACUUGAUUUGUACAUUUUAUAGAUAAGAAAGAAAAUUACUCAUAAAAGAUAGGAAAAUACGGAAAAUAUGACAAUUUUAUAGGAGUACGUAUUUCUUUAGCCUUUGUAUUUUGUUUAUACAAUUAUAAAGUGAUUAUGAACCAGAUAUUUCUAUUAAAUAAUGUAAGCUAAAUAUUUUUGUUAAGUACAUCCUCAAUUAUAUACGUCAAUCAAACAUGUAAUGUGUAACAAACUUUGACAUUAAAUAGUUUAGAAAGACAUGUAUUGAACAUCAAAAUUAAUUUAAUUUUCACUUAUAUCCUAAAGAACACAAAAUGUCAUCUUCUAUAUUCUUAUAAUUAAACAAUUAACAUAAGUUAUACAUAUUAAAAAUAUGCUAAAAUACUAAAUAUAAGUAGAAAAUUAAAGAGAGAAAACGAAAAUAGAAUAAUUACAAGAAAAUGAAAAACGAAAAAGAAAAUAUAAUAAUUACAAGAAAAUGAAAAUGAGACCGUAUGGUAUAAAGGAAACCAACCCAAUCAUUUUUCCAGUGUUACAUUAGCAUCACCUUUAUUAUUGUGAGAUCCUCAUAAUCCUAAC